rnacentral:rRNA from 1 species
UACGAGGGGCCCAAACGUUAUUCGGAAUUACUGGGCUUAAAGAGUUCGUAGGCGGCGCAGAAAGUCGGGUGUGAAAGCCCUCGGCUUAACCGAGGAAUUGCGCCCUAAACUACUGUGCUUGAGGAACCUAGAGGUGAGCAGAACAGAUGGUGGAGCGGUGAAAUGCGUUGAUAUCAUCUGGAAUACCGGAGGCGAAGGCGGCUCACUGGGGGUUUUCUGACGCUGAGGAACGAAAGCCAGGGUAGCGAACGGG